rnacentral:rRNA from 1 species
UACGUAGGGUGCAAGCGUUAAUCGGAAUUACUGGGCGUAAAGCGUGCGCAGGCGGUGAUGUAAGACAGGUGUGAAAUCCCCGGGCUUAACCUGGGAACUGCAUUUGUGACUGCAUCGCUGGAGUGCGGCAGAGGGGGGAUGGAAUUCCGCGUGUAGCAGUGAAAUGCGCAGAUAUCAGGAAGAACACCAAUGGCGAAGGCAGUUCUCUGGGGACGGUACUGACGCUGAGACGCGAAAGCGUGGGGGAGCGAACAGG